rnacentral:rRNA from 1 species
AAUGAAACCUGAUAUGACUUAGUGGCGGACGGGUGAGUAACGCGUGGGUAACCUGCCCCUGUGCGGGGGAUAACGGCUGGAAACGGUCGCUAAUACCGCAUGAUGUGUUCGGAUGGCAUCAUCUGAACAUCAAAGAUUUAUCGCUGAAAGAUGGGCUCGCGUCUGAUUAGAUAGUUGGUGGGGUAACGGCCUACCAAGUCUACGAUCAGUAGCCGGACUGAGAGGUUGAACGGCCACAUUGGGACUGAGAUACGGCCCAGACUCC